ACGGGGGGGGCAAGCGUUGUUCGGAAUUACUGGGCGUAAAGGGCUCGUAGGCGGCCAACUAAGUCGGAUGUGAAAUCCCCAGGCUCAACUUGGGAACUGCAUCCGAUACUGGAUGGCUUGAAUUCGGGAGAGGGAUGCAGAAUUCCAGGUGUAGCGGUGAAAUGCGUAGAUAUCCGGAGGAACACCGGUGGCGAAGGCGGCUUCCUGGACCGACACUGACGCUGAGGCGCGAAAGCUAGGGGAGCAAACGGGA
rnacentral:rRNA from 1 species